rnacentral:lncRNA from 1 species
CACUUACUUCAGUGUCCAUACAGCCUAGCCUGGGAACAAUGACUCUCAAAGUAUCUGCUUCUUUCUGCUGGAGUUGGCUGACUUUCUACCUGGCGGCAACUACAGCCCAAGGUGCCAAACCAAGCUCUGUCCUUGGCCGGCAGAGUAGAGGUGCACUUGUGACACAAGCGCAAGGAGCCUCAGAGCAUGUCACAGCUCCAAGACCCACUCUAGCCAGAUGCAACAUGAGGAAGCUAAAGCGAGCCAGCCCAUAUGACCCAGGUCUUACUGGCUACGAUCCCCGGGAAGGUGACUGUGAGAUUAUUCCAAUAACUCCUGCAGUGACCCCACCCGAGUCAGUUUCUCCAACAGAAGCCACAAUCAAAGCUGUUAUCAAGGCACCUCAGAGACUACCAGUGGUUCCAGGGACAGGACCCAGGCUCUUCUACAUCAUUCCCAAUCCCUCAUAUGGAAGAUACAUCUUUUAUGCCCCCUUUCAGGUCCCUUUGUAUUCCAGAAGUUAUGUCCCAGUUAAACGAGGACCCUAUAGUUACAAAUAUAUUUCACCUGUCAAAUCACAAAGGGCUGGCUCAUCUGAAGAAUGGAGGAGGAAGAGGGAGGCUCCUACAAUACUUGGAAAGGAAGGGUUGAUGAAGGACCCCAAGCAAAAACCAGAUUCUGCUUUGUACGUCCACUCUCUCAAGCACAUAGCACCUACUAACCUCGAGGUUGAAGGUACCAAUUGAAAAAGGACCAGGAACAGCAUUGUCUACUGCUGUAGAGAUGAAUGAACGUUUGAUGUAACAUGACAAUUCCUAAGGUAUUUUAAAUAUUAGCUUCUUGUAUGAUGGUAGAGGCAGCUCUAGGGGAGCACAGCUGGUUGCCCUUGCUCAUAGCUAGUUACAUGACACCUGUGGCCAGCAGGGAAUUUCUCCUCUGAAUAUGACCUGACUGACUUGGACAGCCUCAGGAAUGGCAGCAAAAAUAGAGAUGAAAUAGGAAGCAAAGCUGUUAGGGUGAACCACUCAGUCAAUCUGUUGCUUGUACAGAUGAUACUCACUUUACAAAACAGAGUAGUCAUUACUGACACCUGUGCACUAGCGGCAAUUAAACAUCGCACAGUACUUGGGAGCACUGUGGCCUUUGUGCAACACUUCCAAGCUCUGUUCUGUGUCAGUCUGAAACUAUACUAAUGCAUAGUGAAAUAUUUUGGGAAUAGGAGACGGAGGUGGGGCAAGGGGCUGGCUAGUCGAUGAAAUCUUCAUGCUCACCAGUUAAUUGAGAGAGAUUUACGAUGACACUUCCCUUCAGCUGAAAUCUGUUUUAGAGAAAUAGUUUUAUAAUGCAGUCUUGUGUGCUGCUACUGAAAUGGUAUGUUGUAAUUGUAGUAGGUCAUGUACAGGCAUUGCCAUAACCAGUUGUGGAAAGACAGCGCUACAAAUACAACCCCCCACCUUCUGCUCUGAAGCCACUACAUAAAUAAGACCCCGCCUUUGCAACUUCUUAAGCACAUUCUUUUCUUUAAGCUCAUGAAUAAACUUAUUUCAGUCAACA